rnacentral:pre_miRNA from 1 species
UUAAGGAACAAAAAUCUAACUGGAUUUCUUGCUGGAAACCUGAAAUCCAGUUUGCAGACCAUUGUCUGCAAGCUGGAUUUCAGGUUUCCACCAAGAAAUCCAGUUAAAUUUC